AUUGAACGCUGGCGGCAGGCUUAACACAUGCAAGUCGAGCGGGGUGAUGGUGCUUGCACUAUCACUUAGCGGCGGACGGGUGAGUAAUGCUUAGGAAUCUGCCUAUUAGUGGGGGACAACAUCUCGAAAGGGAUGCUAAUACCGCAUACGUCCUACGGGAGAAAGCAGGGGAUCACUUGUGACCUUGCGCUAAUAGAUGAGCCUAAGUCGGAUUAGCUAGUUGGUGGGGUAAAGGCCUACCAAGGCGAGGAUCUGUAGCGGGUCUGAGAGGAUGAUCCGCCACACUGGGACUGAGACACGUCCCAGACUCCUACGGGAGGCAGCAGUGGGGAAUAUUGGACAAUGGGGGGAACCCUGAUCCAGCCAUGCCGCGUGUGUGAAGAAGGCCUUAUGGUUGUAAAGCACUUUAAGCGAGGAGGAGGCUCUUUUGGUUAAUACCCAAGAUGAGUGGACGUUACUCGCAGAAUAAGCACCGGCUAACUCUGUGCCAGCCGCCGCGGUAA
rnacentral:rRNA from 1 species